rnacentral:rRNA from 1 species
AGAUUGAACGCUGGCGGCAGGCCUAACACAUGCAAGUCGAGCGGCAGCACGGGUACUUGUACCUGGUGGCGAGCGGCGGACGGGUGAGUAAUGCCUAGGAAUCUGCCUGGUAGUGGGGGAUAACGCUCGGAAACGGACGCUAAUACCGCAUACGUCCUACGGGAGAAAGCAGGGGACCUUCGGGCCUUGCGCUAUCAGAUGAGCCUAGGUCGGAUUAGCUAGUUGGU